UACGUAGGGCGCAAGCGUUGCCCGGAAUUAUUGGGCGUAAAGAGCUCGUAGGCGGUCUGUCGCGUCUGCCGUGAAAACCCGAGGCUUAACCUCGGGCUUGCAGUGGGUACUGGCAGACUAGAGUGCGGUAGGGGAGACUGGAAUUCCUGGUGUAGCGGUGGAAUGCGCAGAUAUCAGGAGGAACACCGAUGGCGAAGGCAGGUCUCUGGGCCGCAACUGACGCUGAGGAGCGAAAGCAUGGGGAGCGAACAGG
rnacentral:rRNA from 1 species